rnacentral:lncRNA from 1 species
AGACACCGCCCCCGCACGCGGGGAGGUGACCGUUGAGCCCAAACAGGCGGCGUCACCAGCCAAUCAAUAUGCUUCCAGACGUUUCAGCGACCAAUUAAUAAGAACGCCUCCGAUCCAGCCAGCGUCCCAUGCUCGGUGGCCCCAGAAAAGUCAGUGUGUAGGCCUCAGCCACUUCAGGUCCGGCGUACAUUCUCCCUGGACACCAUCCUCAGCUCCUACCUUCUGGGCCAGUGGCCACGAGAUGCUGAUGGGGCCUUCACCUGCUGCACCAAUGACAAGGCCACCCAGACGCCCCUGUCCUGGCAAGAGCUAGAAGGUGAGCGUGCCAGUUCCUGUGCACACAAGCGCUCAGCAUCCUGGGGCAGCACAGACCACCGAAAAGAGAUUUCCAAGUUGAAGCAACAACUGCAGAGGACGAAGCUGAGCCGCAGUGGGAAAGAGAAGGAGCGAGGUUCACCACUCCUAGGGGACCACGCAGUGCGGGGAGCACUGAGGGCGUCCCCUCCCAGCUUCCCCUCAGGGUCCCCUGUCUUGCGACUCAGCCCCUGCCUGCACAGGAGCCUGGAAGGGCUCAACCAAGAGCUGGAGGAGGUAUUUGUGAAGGAGCAGGGAGAAGAGGAGCUGCUGAGGAUCCUUGAUAUCCCUGAUGGGCACCGGGCCCCAGCUCCUCCCCAGAGUGGCAGCUGUGAUCAUCCCCUCCUCCUCCUGGAGCCUGGCAACCUUGCCAGCUCUCCUUCCA